GGUUCGAUGGCGUAGUUGGUUAUCGCAUCUGUCUAACAUGAGUGUGUGGUUCCGGUUUUACACAGAAGGUCCCCAGUUCGAGCCUGGGUCGAAUCA